ACCUUUCACAGAGGGAUAGCCCAGAGAAAUUUGGAUUAAUACCUCAUAGUAUAUUGGUCUCGCAUGAGAUCAUUAUUAAAGAUUUAUCGGUGAAAGAUGAGCAUGCGUCCCAUUAGUUAGUUGGUAAGGUAACGGCUUACCAAGACUACGAUGGGUAGGGGUCCUGAGAGGGAGAUCCCCCACACUGGUACUGAGACACGGACCAGACUCCUACGGGAGGCAGCAGUGAGGAAUAUUGGACAAUGGGCGCAAGCCUGAUCCAGCCAUGCCGCGUGCAGGAUGACGGUCCUAUGGAUUGUAAACUGCUUUUAUACGAGAAGAAACACUGGUUCGUGAACCAGCUUGACGGUAUCGUAAGAAUAAGGAUCGGCUAACUCCGUGCCAGCAGCCGCGGUAAUACGGAGGAUCCAAGCGUUAUCCGGAAUCAUUGGGUUUAAAGGGUCCGUAGGCGGUCAGAUAAGUCAGUGGUGAAAGCCCAUCGCUCAACGGUGGAACGGCCAUUGAUACUGUCUGACUUGAAUUAUUAGGAAGUAACUAGAAUAUGUAGUGUAGCGGUGAAAUGCUUAGAGAUUACAUGGAAUACCAAUUGCGAAGGCAGGUUACUACUAAUAUAUUGACGCUGAUGGACGAAAGCGUGGGUAGCGAACAGGAUUAGAUACCCUGGUAGUCCACGCCGUAAACGAUGGAUACUAGCUGUUGG
rnacentral:rRNA from 1 species